UGGGGAAUAUUGCGCAAUGGGGGCAACCCUGACGCAGCAAUACCGCGUGAGUGAAGAAGGUUUUCGGAUCGUAAAGCUCUGUUAUUGGGGAAGAAAACAUGACGGUACCCAAUGAGGAAGUCCCGGCUAACUACGUGCCAGCAGCCGCGGUAAUACGUAGGGGACAAGCGUUGUCCGGAAUGACUGGGCGUAAAGGGCGCGUAGGCGGUCUAUUAAGUCUGAUGUGAAAGGUACCGGCUCAACCGGUGAAGUGCAUUGGAAACUGGUAGACUUGAGUAUUGGAGAGGCAAGUGGAAUUCCUAGUGUAGCGGUGAAAUGCGUAGAUAUUAGGAGGAACACCAGUGGCGAAGGCGGCUUGCUGGACAAAUACUGACGCUGAGGUGCGAAAGCGUGGGGAGCGAACAGG
rnacentral:rRNA from 1 species